GAAGCAACAGCGGCCGUGCCUCUGGCACAGAGUCCGGCCCUGUAAUUCAGAAGGGUAGAGAAAGAGAAGGCAGUAGCAAUAGGGGACUCAACAGUUAGGGAGUCAGACAAGCGAUUCCGUGGACGCAGUCAGGAGACCCGGAUGGUAGUUUGCCUCCCUGGUGCCGGGUCCGGGAUACUUCUGAUCGCGUCCAAGAUAUCCUGAAGUGGGAGGGUGAGGAGCCAGAGGUCGUGGUAGAUAUAAGUACCAAUGACAUAGGUAGGAAAAGGGAAGAGGUCCUGAAAGGAGAAUAUAGGGAGUUAGGAAGGGAUUUGAGAAGAAGGUCUGCAAAGGUAGUAAUCUCGGGAUUACUGCCUAUGCCACGUGGCAGUGACAGUAGUCAUGGAAUGAGGUGGAGGAUAAAUGUGUGGCUGAGGGAUUGAAGCAGGGGGCAGGGAUUCAAGUUUUUGGAUCAUUGGGACCUCUUUUGGGACAGGUGUGACCUGUACAAAAAGAACGGGUUGCACUUGAAAGCUAGGGGGACCAAUAUCCUGGCAGGGAGAUCUGUGGAGGCUACUGGGGAGACUUUAAACUAGAAUGGUUGGGGGGGGUGGGAAUCAGAUUGAAGAGACUAGGAGAGAAGAGGUUAGUUCACAAAUAGAGAAAGCUUGUAGACAGUGUGAGGAAAUCUAGGAAUAAUGGUGCAUAUUUCCCUGAAGGAGGAAGCUCAUGUGGUGAUGAAGAAAGCUUUUGGUAUGCUGACCUUUGAGCAUUGAGUACAGGAGUUGGGAUGUAAUGUUAAAAUUGUACAAGGCAUUGGUGAGGCCAGAUUUGGAGCAUUAUAUACAGUUCUGGUCACCAAAUUAUACGUAAGAUGUCAACAGAGAACAGAGAUUUACUAGACUGUUACCUGGGUUUCAGCACCUAAUUUACAGAGAAAGGUUGAACAAGUUAGGUCUUUAUUCUUUGGAGCAUAGAAGGUUGAGGGGGGACUUGAUAGAAGUAUUUAAAAUUAUGCGGGGAUUGAUAGAGUUGAUGUGGAUAGGCUUUUUCCAUUGAGUGUAGGGGAGAUUCAAACAAGAGGACAUGAGUUGAGAGUUAAGGGGCAAAAGGUUAGGGGUAACAUGAGGGGUAACUUCUUUACUCAGAGAGUGGUAACUGUGUGGAACGAGCCUCCAGUGGAAGUGGUAGAGGCAGGUUCGAUUUUUUCAUUUAAAAAAAAAUUGUAUAGGUAUAUGGACAGGAAAGGAAUGGAGGAUUAUGGGCUGAGUGCAGGUCAGUGGGACUAGGUGAGAGUAAGCGUUCGGCACGCACUAGGAAUGCCGAGAUGGCCUGUUUCCGUGCUGUAAUUGUUAUGUGGUUCUACCGCGUACGAUUCUGGUCUCCAUAUCCGAUAGCGGGGAGUUUUAACUCAUAUGGGGACCAACUGCAGCUCAACCCCAGCUGAUGCGGGUGUUUCCCCUGUUCAGGUGGCGGUGAGGAAGGGGUUAAUCUCGGGUUUGUGUAAAUCGAGGGCUGGUUGCUGUGGGAAAGGGCCGGGACCGAGCCGGACAGCGGGAGGCUCCGGGCUCUCCAGUCUUGCAUCCCUGGUUUUAGUUUUGCACUGAGUCGAGAUCGCGGGAUCAGUUUGCUCUGGUUCCCCAAGCUGGGAGGGUGGACGUGGGUGAAGGGGGCCUGUCUAUGUGUCGGUGUGGGAUGAAUGGUCAGAAGGGUCUGGGGCCACUGGCGGGACGGAGGGUGGUUGGGGUACUGUGGGUUAUCGGAAGUAACAUGACCUGGGUGGAUGGGCAAGGGGUAAAUUACGUUGUCAACGAGGGUGGAACUGGUCCAGUGAAUCAGACAGCUCAGCUCGCAUGUCCUUUCAGGAGGCCACAAUUCUCUCAUCAUCUUAAUCACUGAUUAAUCUUCCUGUUAACAUUGAGUUUGUUACAGAGCCCCAGGGUCUGGGAAUCGCUGGGUGGUAGGAGGCAGAGGGUGAUGGUGAGAGGCAGUUUCUUGGACUCGAGUUCCAUGCUUAGUGACGUUCCCUGGGGUUACACCCAUUGCUACUUGUAAUCUAUGUCAAUAAUUUGGUUGAGAUAGUACAGGGUAUGGGUAGAGAGUUUGCAGCAAGUUCAAACAAAUACUGUUUUUGAAAGACAGUCAGUAAAAACACUCCCCUCUCUUUCCCUCUCCCCACUCAGAUCUGACCAAAAGCUACUUCAGAGGAUGCAAGAUCUUUUACUGAGUAACCACUGUGAGGGAAUGGGAGUGGUUUCAAAGGGCUGGGCUGCUGGAAGCACAUUACCAGACCUGGAUUGAUUGCAACUGGGUCUGGCAGAGGCAUAACUGGUUCUGCUGGGCACAUUCAGUCUCACUCCCAACUAUUUCCUCCCUUCCUUUGUACAGGUUAAAACAGGUCCAUUUCAUGAAAUAUAAACCAAGAAAUAAAAAGAAACUGGAAUUACCAGAAAGACUCUGCAGACUAAACAGGAUCUGUAAAGGUCGAACUAUGUAACACCCGACGUGUGAGGAGAUUGUAUCGACACUCACAGAUACACUUCCCGUCCAACCAUUUCUGCGAGAGAAAUGGUACGAGGCAGAUUUGCCAACCUACCACUUUUGAGAAUAACAUUCAGCAAUAUUUGUGGCUUUUGCAAUAGUUCAUCAGAGUUUAUUUUUUCAUACUUGAUUACUUGGUUCCAAUUUAGGUGGCUAAAAUCGUAAAAAAUGAAUUGCUUUAUUUCUGUUAUUUUUAUACCUCUGAGGAACACUGCUAAGCGCUGCGGGCCCUGCCGUCUGCUCUGACUCAGUCGUAUUAGUAAGGCUACAUCUAUGGUGGUCCGUGGAUUACUCGCAAAUCCUAAAGUAAAUUUUUCUCAGUAACAACCCUUUGGCUUCUAAGCAAACAAAGUUAUUUUACUUGCUUGAUAAUUAUAUUUUAUGAUAAUCGCUUAAGUGCAACAAUGCAAUAUUUUGUCAUAUUAUUAAAUUAAGUAUUAUAUGUUUAAUUUUACCAGUUAUACACUGAAAUGUAAUGAUAGGCUGUCAUCUUGUUAAUGUCUUAGCUGUGGAGCUCUGGAAUUCAUAUAUUUAUUUCACCUUGGUUUACU